rnacentral:rRNA from 1 species
GCAGCAGCCGCGGUAAUACGUAGGUGGCAAGCGUUGUCCGGAAUUAUUGGGCGUAAAGGGCUCGCAGGCGGUUUCUUAAGUCUGAUGUGAAAGCCCCCGGCUCAACCGGGGAGGGUCAUUGGAAACUGGGAAACUUGAGUGCAGAAGAGGAGAGUGGAAUUCCACGUGUAGCGGUGAAAUGCGUAGAGAUGUGGAGGAACACCAGUGGCGAAGGCGACUCUCUGGUCUGUAACUGACGCUGAGGAGCGAAAGCGUGGGGAGCGAACAGGAUUAGAUACCCCGGUAGUCCCUGUCUCUUAUAA